rnacentral:SRP_RNA from 2 species
UGGGCGGGUGCGGGCGACGUCAUGUCCCGAACCUGGUCAGGGCCGGGAGGCAGCAGCCAUAAGGGGCCUCUGGCGGGCGCCCGUUCCCACCGAGCA